CCUACGGGUGGCCGCAGUGGGGAAUAUUGGGCACUGGGGGCACGCCUGACCCAGCACCGCCGCGUGAAGGAAGAAGGCUUUCGGUUUGUAAACUUCUUUUCUCAGGGACGAAGGAAGUGACGGUACCUGAGUAAUAAGCCACGGCUAACUACGUGCCAGCAGCCGCGGUACUACGUAGGGGGCAAGCGUUAUCCGGAUUUACUGGGUGUAAAGUGCGUGUAAGCGGGACUGCAAGUCUGAUGUGAAAGCCACGGGCGAAACCUUUGGACUGCAUUUGAAACUGUAGUGCUGGAGUGCUGGAGAGGCAGACGGAAGUCCUAGUGUAGCGGUGACAUGCGUAGAUAUUAGGAGGAACACCAGUGGCGAAGGCGGUCUACUGGACAGCAACUGACGCUGAGGCGCGAAAGCGUGGGGAGCAAACAGGAUUAGAUACCCGUGUAGUC
rnacentral:rRNA from 1 species